UACGAAGGGUGCAAGCGUUAAUCGGAAUUACUGGGCGUAAAGCGCGCGUAGGUGGUUCGUUAAGUUGGAUGUGAAAGCCCCGGGCUCAACCUGGGAACUGCAUCCAAAACUGGCGAGCUAGAGUACGGUAGAGGGUGGUGGAAUUUCCUGUGUAGCGGUGAAAUGCGUAGAUAUAAGGAAGGAACACCAGUGGCGAAGGCGACCACCUGGACUGAUACUGACACUGAGGUGCGAAAGCGUGGGGAGCAAACAGGA
rnacentral:rRNA from 1 species